GAAGGGUGGGCAAUAGAAAUCUAAGUGGUUUAAUAAUAUAUUUGGAAAAAUAAGACUUAGUCAUCUUAAGUGAAAACACUUCAUCUCCAUUACAUUCUUUUAAGCCACAAGAUUGAUCAGAGAAGAAAAAAGUCUCAUUUGGACAUGGAUUAUCUUUUGCUGGAAUUAUAGAAGUAUAGCUCAUCCUCAGCCUAGGCAGACCCUGGAGUGGGUCCACUUUUGACAUUAAAUCUACCUACGGCAAUCAGGGAUGGGUUUCUGCUGGAGUAAAUUCCAUUUCUUACAACUAUCCAGGGAAGCCGAACGAUACAGCAAGAACCUUGGAUGCUUCCUCAGCAUGUAACUGCCUACACAGGAGAAGAUCUGACUGGCAGGAUGAAUGGAACAGAUCAGUCUGACCAGGAAACAGCCAAGGCCAAGCACCAAGGUCAAGAGCACCCAGAGUUGACUGAUUGGCACAAAGGCUGAACCACCAUUCUCUUUCCAAUUAAAGUCCCACAAGGAAAAUGCUGAUGUUUCUCCUCCAGAAACCAGCUUUUUGGCACUUUCCCAAAGAACCCACCAUGGUCUGAAGCCACAGGUUCACAGCACUGAGAUUCCGUGGCUUUGUUUUCUCCAAGAGGAUAAAAGGCCUAUAAAUGAUAGACGUUUUCAACUGUUAUUUUUGCACUAGGAAAGAGAAUACAUAAAAUAUAUUCUCUCAGAAUGGGACAUGAGAACUGUAUGCCAUUUGAUCACAGGGAAAUGGGGGUUCUUCCCAUUGAUGACAUUCCUGCCUUUGCGGUGUGAAGGGGCAUAUGGACAACCGGCCAUCACGGUGAAGCCCCCAUGACCAUGAACUACAAUUCGGCUUCUACCUUAACUUGCCCCAUGGCUCAGGGGACGGACCUGAACAACCCAGCCUCUCCAUUUUUCUCACACCAGUAAAUUCCAAAAUUGACUGUCCUGCAUGGCAAGGAAGAGGUCCCUCCAUUCUAGACAUGGGUGUGGUCAUUUUGGGGAGCAAGAUGCACAGGCACCUUUAAGAACAUUCUGGACAAAUCCUAACGGGUAUGAACACUGACAAGGAGAAAAUUAGGAGCUUCUAUUAAACAACUGAGGAAGGCUUGAGUGUGUCCUACCCUUCAGGGUGUGUUGAUAUAAUGAGCACCCUUUAGAUUUUUCCAGUAAUAAGUAAAAGGAAGCUUCAUAUCACGUACUAAAAUAAAUUUCAAUCUAACCAAAGAAAUCUCGUAUCUACAUAAGAAAUCUCUCAAAGGCUAUUUGAAAUGAAGUAAAUUUAAAAAAAAGCCAAUAAAUUAUUUUUGUAAGAAAUAUUGAAGAGCCAUCGCAGGAAAGACAUCUAAUAAGUUGUAAAAUAAAGUUAUCUUCAGGUAAACAUGAGAAGGCCCAGCUUUUCCCAAGAAAGUUGAGUAAUUUUCUUUUUCCUGGGAAUGUUUUAUCAAGCAAUGAGAUUCCAAAUAAAUUUGAGUUGAAAACAAACUGAACUGGAAGUCCCAAUAUCACCUAGCUUAUGCGUGUCCUAUUAUGUCAAUGCAUAUCAAAAAACACAGUCACCUACUUCUAAACAUAAGAAGAAAAACAUCCUAGGGCGCCUGGGUGGCUCAGUCAGUUAAGCUGCUGACUUCGGCUCAGGUCACGAUCUCCCGGUUCAGGAGUCCGAGCCCUGUGUUGGGCUCUGUGCUGACAGUGCAGGGCCUGGAGCCUGCUUCAGAUUCUGUGUCUCCCUCUCUCUCUGUCCCUUCCCCACUCAUGAUCUGUCUCUC